rnacentral:rRNA from 1 species
UACGGAGGAUGCAGGCGUUAUCCGGAUUUAUUAGGUUUAAAGGGUGCGUAGGCGGACUGGUAAGUCAGUGGUGAAAUACUGCAGCUUUACUGUAGAAUUGCCGUUGAUACUGUCAGUCUUGAGUAUGGUUAAGGUAGGCGGAAUGUGUAAUGUAGCGGUGAAAUGCUUAGAUAUUACACAGAACACCGAUUGCGAAGGCAGCUUACUGAACCAUAACUGACGCUGAGGCACGAAAGCGUGGGGAGCGAACAGG